rnacentral:lncRNA from 1 species
AUGUCCACGAGACUGUCGUUCCAGGACCCCAUGUCCGACAACUGGCGACCCGGUCGAACGACGAAGAUAUCAAAGUCCAUGAGGUGUUCAAGAAGGGCGCGGUGACCGGUGAAGCUUCACUUAGUGAGCCUGCAUCGGGGAAACAACGCUCGAGCAGCAGGAUCGGCGGCGCUGGCCCUUCUGUGACGAGUCGCCACCACCUUCUUUAGCACAAAGGCUAGCAGACAACAGAAAUGGUCGCCAAAGCUCUGAGAAAUAUGCAUGAUGGUUGAAUAAGUGUGCUUAUUUGAUUGUGUGCCUGUUUACACUUGCAUUCAUUCCAUUCAUUGUUAUCUGCUGUGUGUGUAUUGUGAUUAUUUAAGAGCUGCAUUCAUUUGCAGAUAAGUAAUUCGGUCCUCGUAUUCAAUUUGGAUGAAUUUUAGAUUCUUGUGGCUACCAUCAAAGUGAUUCGUUUAGGGCAUAACUUGGAGUUAAGAGAUUGUUUUGGAUGGUGGCAGGUGCAGAACCUGCAUAUAACUUCAAGUGAAUGUGUAUCGACUAGAUUCAUGCUAGACAUAUAAUGGUCUCUUGAUCCCUCUUCCUCCUCUUAGACAUCUUCGUCUCCACUGCUUCCCACUUUAUCCUCUCCUAUGACCUCACCUAUCGUACUUAUGACAUCAUGGUUUAGCUCUCCCUCACUUCCGCCUUCGGCCUUUUCUACCUCUGUCUCUCUACCUUCAUUCAUUGCUAUGGCUUCCGUCGUUUUCUUUUCCUCGACAAGAUGAAAGUAUAUUUAAUGAAAAUCAUAAUUUUAAAAAAUAAAUCAUUAUUUUUUACAUUAGCUUUUAAUACAUGCCGAGAGAAAUAUUUUUCGACUGGUUGCCAUUCAUAUGUUGGUGCUCAUCUUUUAAGAGUAUAUAUAUACCUACUUUUAAGUGUCAAACAGUACAAUACACAGGAGCUAUAGUUGGAUGGACCUUUAGGGUAAUAUCUAGGCUAGUUCACUGUCUUAUUUCAUAGUAGUGUCAUAUGGACACUUGUGGGGACUUUAGGUCGCGACGGACCACUUUCAACACUUUGUCAUAUGGCCAUUAAGAGCUUGCAAAUUUCAUAUUUGUAACUUACAUUGCAUAUCAAGUGCUUGCUAAAAUGGUUAUUUGUGGAUCGCAAGUUAAAUGUUUUAUCUAACUCAUCUUAUAUUUUGUAAGUCCUUAAGAGACCAUAGAAGGUUUCGAUGAGGCUAAUCCUUUACGAAUAAACGAACAAUGGUGCUAUAUGUUACGAAUAACUCAUCUUAUAUUUAGUAACCAACUCGAAACAUGGAGUCCAUGUUGAAUCUCGGAUUUUGAUGGUGAAAUCAAUUGAUGAAGUUAUGAUAUAAUCAACGUUCGAGUGAUGUAGGACUAACUUCGAUCAUAGAAAGAUAAAUUGAUUGAAGAAGGAAGAAUCAGAUGUUGGGCUGGAGUGGAACAUGUCAGAAGAAUAAACAUCGGGUCGGAGGACCGACCGACAUGCUAGAAGGAUUUCGUGUCAUGAGUUUGAGCAUUGGGCUAGAAGGAUCGGACAUUGAACCAAGGAGAUCGGAUGUUGCGGGAAGUCAACAUGCCGAUGGUCGGACAAUACGUUGAAGGAGAGUGAUGUAUCAAAGGAUCAGAUGAAGCACCGGAUAAACCAAUAACAUGCCAAACAACAUAAGAUUCACGCUUGUAAUCAUGUAUGUUUAGAUCAAAAUAGUCUAUAUCGAAUUGAGUUAGUUUUGUGUAUAACUAGAUUAACAAAAUUAGGGAACCAUUGGGCCUGAUUUAGGGCUAAGUUGGGCUCAUUCAGUGACCUAGGGUUAGAUCAGGCGAUGGAACCGCUUAUGAGCUGAAAAAAUAUGAAAUAUACUUCUUCUAAAAAACCAGGCAGUGGUUCCACCGAUGUCAAGCGAUGGUAUCACCCAGUGUUAGUCUGUUAAGCAAUAGUACCACCCAGAAUAGGUGGUGGUAACGUCAGUUGUCAAUCUAGCAGACGGUGGUACUGUUAGUAUCCCGGAAACCCGGGAUGAGAUACAUUUUAGCUUCAUUUUUGAAGUUAUUUAGGGCCUAUAUAUAUCUUACUCUUUCUAGCUUAUAAAGGAAAGAUAAGAGAAUGAAAACUUGUGUUUUAGAGUAUGAAAACUACUAUUCAUAGGUGCCCAGGAAGCCAAUUAUGUGAGUGAUAGCAUGUGUGACUUGACACGUAGUCGUUUUGCUUAUUAUAUUUUGACAUUUAUCACUUUAUAUUGACUAUUGCAUAUAUGCAUGUAUAUAUAGUCAUGUCAUUGGAUCUAUGCAAUAGGAAUCGGAUCGUGAUGAGAUCACGAUAAUGAGACCAAUUCACUUUUAAACAUAAAUCGUAAAUAAUCCCGGUCAUAGGUUACUUGAGAGGGACAUCGAGAUAACCAGACAGACUGGUGUGCUAUAUACCCGUUCAUAUGAUGGAUGCAACUGAUCUUAUAGUUGCUCGUGUGGGGGCACUAGAGAUAUAGUAAAGGUGCUCAUUGGAGAAUUAGUUCAUUGAUUGAUCCACUUACGAAAUGAUGGAUGGUUGAUGAUACAUUAUUGUCAAAUAGUGAUUUCGUAGUCCUAGUGGUAUAUUUGGUCCUUAGACUUGAGACACCAAGGAUGUCAUGUAUGAGGGCUCUAUUCUUUGAUACCGGACUUAUAGGUUUGGAUGUCCCAGAUCUAGUACAACUGGCAAUCGGGAGUGGCAGUCAACCUUACGAGGGCUAUUGAGUGUCGAUAGAGGAUCAUAUACUCUCGAUGUCAUGAGAGGAAUAUCCCAUGUAUUCUUGCUCAAACAAAUCCCUGACCAGGGUCAUUCGGAUUGAGAGAGAAAGAGUUCUCUGGGAGAAUCCGAUUAGAGCAAGACUCGAGAAGAAACCGUAUGGGUUUGACAGCACCAUGCCCGAUAUACGGUCUUUGGGAUAUUAGAUGGAUGAUGGACUAUAGGUACAGGGUAAUUAAGGACAGACAGAUCCAAUGGAUUGGAUUCCCUUGUAUCGUCUGGAGACUGCGGCGUAGUGACCUAGUACAUCCGUAGUCGAUGAGUCGAGUGAAUUAUUAUGAAGAUAAUAAUUUACUGAGCUAGAAGGAGUUCUAACAAGUAUGACUCACGACCAGCUCAAUAUUGGGCAUAAAAGGUCACACACAUAUGGUAGGCGUUACGAUGAGUAGAGGUUCGGAUAUGAGAUAUCCGUCGGAGCCCCUAUCUUAUUGGAUAUCCAAUAAGCCGCUAAAUUAUUGGAUCCCAUGGACGAGAUCCAAAAAAAGCCCAUGAGACAUUAUUAGAUAGAGAUCCACUAAUCUAAGAAGCUUAAGUAGUUGGAUAAAGAUUUAAUACCCAAUAGAGGAGGAUCCAUUAGGGUUAAGUUGACAGGGGACCUCUAUAAAUAGGAGGGAUUCAUUGGUUCAUAAGCUAGAGCUUUUGCUUGCCUCUUAUAUUCUCCUCCCCCUCUCUACCUCAAAGCAUACCCGGAGUUUGGAGAAGCAUCAUCGCUGCCCUGCUAUGUGAAUCACCACUAGAGAGGAGGACACUUGUCCUCCUUCACCCUCUCCUAAAGAUCUGCAAGGAUUCAGGGAUAUAUGAUUUCCCUAGGUAAUAUAAUCUUUACUAUGCGUAGUUUUCUAUUUUGUGGAUUUUGCUCACCAAUCUUCGCACGACGAUAAACAUCUCUUUAGGAAUAGGAGAUUUUGUUUUAUGUUCUUCCACUAUGCAUGUGAUGUCGCCCCUCAAGAUUUCCCAACAAAAACUCUAUUAGAAAGUUAAGUCUUUCCUCCUUGAGCUUAGAGAUUGUUCUAAGGGAGGUUUUGAGGAUUUUCUUAUAAAAGAGGGUUGUAAAGGUUCUCUCUUGAACUUGUCAAGAGAAGAAAGAGUUAUAAGAGGGUAGUUGAUCUUCACCUAUUGAAAGAAGAUCAGUAGUGAAUGCUGAUGGCCUCGACGGAAGAGGAAUCGGGAGUUGGCGUAAGUCACGACGACCGAACCACUAUAAACUCGAUUUGCAUUUCUGUUCAGGCUUUCUAUUAAUAUUGCUUAUUGAUUUACUUGCUCACUACUUUUAUGUAUGUUGUAAGUUAAACAUCUUUUCGACAUAGGUUUGAUCGAAUGAAAAUUUUCUAAAACAUCAAAGUUUUUACGAAGCACUAAUUCACUCUCCCUCUUAGUGUUGAAACGGUCCUAACAGUACAACUCUUGAGGAGACAAGUAAAGUCGAGGAAUAUUUAUCUUCUCAACUCUUAAGAGAAUGAGCAAAACUGAGAAUCCUAGUUCUCUUAUUUAUUUAGUAGAUGAGCAUUAUAUUAGUUUAAAGACCCUUCAAAGAAACUUAGUAGAAGAUAAUAUUUGUUAAAUCCUUACCAAUAGUGAUCAGUGCUAUCGAAAGUUGACAGUUCACUUCAUUUUCCAACAAAAUACCAAUCAAAAAUGAAAGUGAAGUGAACCUACUUGGCGAUGACAACUAAGUAGAAUCAGAAUCGAUAGGUAAAUUUUACAAAGGAAAGACCCAAAAACUUUAAAGUCUGUGAGGCGAUGCUCACUAAAGCUUCAACAGACAUCCACCCAAUUCAAGCGGCAUGAUACGUUUAAAGAAUGGCACAUAAUAAGUAAGGACUUUUCCUUUAUUUAAAGGAUUGUGGGAACCAAUAAAGAUCAACACAACUCAGUCAACUCCACACCAUAGUAUGGUGGAUCAAAGUUCGAUUACUCUACAAUAAUGAUGAAGUGCAGUUGGAAACUAAGAGGCAUGUAGAGCAAAAGAUUAAAAAUUCGGUAAAAGCUAGGAGAUGUAACGUCCACAAAGGCUUCGACAAGGACAUUGAAUGAAUAAAUGGGGGAGUGUCAUGGACUAAGCUGCAAACGAGAGUUUAAUAUAAUGCUUAUGUAUAUUCGUGUCUUUCGGUUUUGUUCACAACAUGUAAAAGGCUUAUGGUAAGCAUGACAACUCUAUUUCAGUUGGCUUUAGUGGUCAUUUUAAGCUUAUAAAUACAGGUCAUGUGUAAUCAUCAUGUAGAGACAAAACUAUCUAAAAAUAAGCCAUCCAAGUAGUUAUUUUGGGGUUUUUUUAGCUCUAUAGAGUAGUAUGGAAUUUCAACCAACACAACACCUAGGAGCUACCUGGUUGACACAGCUUGAUGGGCUUUUGGUGUAGGAUUUAGGAUUGGUUCGAUACCUCAUUUAAUAGUAGUAUCAUAUGGGUACUUAUAUAGAUUUUGGGUCAUGAUGGACCACCUUGGACCUUUUAUAACAUGAUCGUUCAAAACUUGUAAAAUCUAUAUUUGUAACUUAUAUUGUCUAUUAAAUAUUUACUGAAAUAAUUAAAUAUGAAUCCCGAGUUAAAUAUUUUCUCUAACUCAUCUUUUUUUAAUAUCCAAAAUUCGAUAUUGUAUGAUUUAAUUAAAAUCAACUAAGUUAAUUAUAUAAUGCAAGAGUGUUUUGUUCUUAUGGCUUACACUAGUAAGCUAGGGGAUUCUAUGCAAAAGGGCAUGCUCAAGAUGGCAGCCAGUUCAUGUCAAGGACACAAUGGGCCACGAAUGCUCAACCUAAGCAACAAUUGUUUGCAAGCCACCUUUGCGAAGCCUUAGCAUGAGAGUCAAGUCUUCUGAGAAUCUCCUACCCGAUGCGGCCCUUCUUCUUCUUUCAACUCUCGAUCGAUACUACAAAUACCCACACACCCCAUCCUCUCUCUCCAUCCCCUCCACAGUCGUCCUCGAGUCUCUUCAAACAUAAUGGCCUUCGUCCCGCCUCGAAUGCCACCGCGUCCAUUUGCGCCACCUCCUCCAAAGGUAUCCCCGUCUAUACCACCUCCGCCGAAUCGCCGGAGCCCCCCACCACCCUCACCUUCGAAGCAAACACCACCUCCACCACCUCGCCGCAGACCCCCGCCACCCCCACCUCCGAAGAAAGCGCCACCACCACCGCCAAGAAGGAUGGCCCCGCCUCCGGCACCCGUCCGCCCUCCACCACUGGUGCCGCCGCCACCGAGCCCGAACCACACCGUGAUCAUCGUCGUGUUCGUCUCCCUCGGCGGCCUUCUCCUCCUCGCAUGCCUCGCGGCGGCACUGUUUUGCUGCAUCAAGAAGAGAAAGAAGAAGAUGGCGUUCGCCGUGGACGUGGCGGACCGUGUGCAUGUCCACGAGACUGUCGUUCCAGGACCCCAUGGCCAACAACUGGCGACCCGGUCGAUCGACGAAGAUGUCAAAGUUCAUGAGGUGUUCAAGAAGGGCGCGGUGACCGGUGAAGCUUCACUUAGUGAGCCUGCAUCGGGGAAACAACGCUCGAGCAGCACGAUCGGCGGCGCUGGCGCUCCUGUGACGGGUCGCCACCACCUUCUCUGGCACAAAGGCUAGCAGACAACAGAAAUGGUCGCCAAAGCUCUGAGAAAUAUGCAUGAUGGUUGAAUAAGUGUGCUUAUUUGAUUGUGUGCCUGUUUACACUUGCAUUCAUUCCAUUCAUUGUUAUCUGCUGUGUGUGUAUUGUGAUUAUUUAAGAGCUGUAUUCAUUUGCAGAUAAGUAAUUCGUUCCUCG